CCGAGGAUAUUUCACAAAGGCAUCAUUGGGAGAGCGGUACUGGCACGUGUACUGCCUGUAGAGCGCGAGCACAAAGGAAGCGAAGUGUCAGUGGAAGUCAUGGAAGAGGAUAACAAUUCAAGAAAUAUUGUCACGAGGAUGCUGUCAUGAGAAUAAAAAAUCAGGAAAGAAAUGUCGAUAACAAAAUCAAUGAGACAGUUAAUGCUGGUCCAUACUUUAUAUGAUGCUAAGUACUGAUAAGCUUACCUACAGCAAACAAUCCUUUACAUUGUUAAGGAAAAUCUUCAAAGUAAUAUUCAUUGGAUUAUUUACCACAGUGAUGGACAAUGAACCAUAUCCUGCUGUCUCUGUCCAGGUCAGGCAGCUAGUAAAGCCUUUCCCAGAACAGGCCCCUUAAGACAAGACUCUUUCUGUUAGGAAUUUCCAUGGAAACCAAGCAACUAACUUGAGGAGGGACAUAAAAACCUGCUCUGUGGAGAAAGGAGGAACACCUGCCACCUCUGCAAAUGGACGCUCAAGAACACACUGUACUUGCUGCAAGUGCCAACAAAGAGUCUGCCCACAACCAGAGCAGAGCAGAGGGUUCUGAAAAGCAACACAAGGUCUUGUGCUCUGUUCAUUAACAGUAUUAAUGAUUAACUGAGGUGCAAUUGUCUCAGGCCAGCUGUCUGCUGUUUAUCCAACUCUGAACCCUUCAUGUUCCAUGGCUCGCACAGAGCUCCCUUUUAAUACACUCAACUGACAGCUGCCUCUCACAUUCAAGUGAACUACUGCAUCCUUCAUUUACUGUGCUUUGGGAAUUAGUGCAGAGGAGUUCAUGGGGGUCACUAUAAUACUAUCCAAAAGAAUAGUUCUGUACUUCAUGAUGAAUAUUUCAACCCCUUCAUUGCAGGAAUAUUUAUUAGUACUUCUCAUUGUUUGGGAUGCAGUUUUUUUUUUCAGCUUUCUGGUUUCCUUGACACUGUGGCAGCUAGUGUCUGUUCUGAAGUUGCUAAGCAGGAAAUGUGAUGGUGUCAUUUUUUAAUAACUUGCGAUAUAUCUGACUUCAUUGCCUGGCAACCCAUUUUGUUAUUGCUUGUUUUGGUUCAGCUCAUUGUUUCACUUACCUUGUCAUGUUCCACCCUCAUUGACCAUAAUGUGAAACUUUGUGUGCUUAAUGUCUUUCAAUCACACUUCCUUAAUAUUGCAGCCACUAAUCUAUAUCUAAAUCUUGUUUUGCUGUAGCUCCUAAGGGAAUUAAGGGGCCAUUUUAUCUUUACAAGACAAGGACUUUGAUUUAGUCUUUUAAAUAGCCGCCACCUUCACUUUGGAUCUGCGCUUUAAUUGGCCAGUCAUCAAGAAACUGUCUCCAGACCAUCUGGAAAUUAUUAUACAGCAAUAGUUCUCAGGCAAGCACUUUCUUUGUAAAAGACUUAGCUGAUCACAGAAAUGAUUGCUCUGAAAUGAUCUCUCCAGUGUUCUACCAGAGAAUUAAAUAAUAUUUGAAAAAUAAGUCUUACUGCUCAUUAGAAGUCAAAAGAAAAGUAAACCCACUUAUGGAGUUAUGGUGCUAUACCUUUUAGCUUGUGGUAGAAAGAAACAGUCUACAUAAAGCAGCAGUAGAAAGUACCAGAUUACAUAAACCAGUUACUAACCAUAACCCUCACCAUAACCUUAGUGAAGUUAGUGUAGCAUUUUGGACAUAUAAAAAGCAAAACUGCUACUUUUGCUUGAGAAAUUAUUUAAAAACAAUAUUGAGCAUUUCCCUGUUCUCCAAACUAUAUUGUAUAGCAGUUGCAUUCUACCAAGGGUUGGGGUUACACCCUCUGCUUACACCCAUACAAUGAUCACUUCCUGUGGAACAUCCCUGACACCUUUGGACUAAAGUCCAGUUUAGUACAUUGCAGAAUUAUGCGCCUAGUGAGUCUUGGAUAUUUUUAUUUCAAAUAAGUUCUCUUUUAAGUAUUUUUUUAUUUGGCAUAGAUUUUCAGUGCUCUUUUCACCACUGUUACUUUGUGUGUGUGUGUGUGUGUGUGUGUGUGUGUGUG